ensembl:lncRNA
GAAAAUAUGUUAAAUAGAAACAUGUUAAUGGAAACAGAACUAUGCUUAUGAGCCUAGAGGGACUUUGCAAGAAAUUUGUUUUGCAAACAGAACUUGGGUUGUGGGACCUUAAAUGUUCAGUAGCUUCUUGAGUCUGGGAUCUGGAUGGUCAUUUGCUCACCUGGAGCUCCACAGACACAAAAGGAUAUAUGGCUCCAAAGGGUUUGCAGUACAGAUGGAAAUAAGGAAUAGUCAGUGGUUUGCCUGAGUGUACUUGUGCCUUUAGGGGGCAGGCAGGGAAUCCUUAAUGUAGCUUGUAGCAGCCUCUGGGCAUGAAAACCCCUGAAGCAUGUGUAGUUCUGUCCAUGGCUGUUCUGAGACCUGAACUCCUUUUGUUUAAGGUGCCAUGCUACAGUAUUGCCACCAGACCUGUGAGGCCAAACACAUGGCUUUGUUGCGAGUCUUGCAAUAUUUGCUGGGUUUUCUUUCUGGGGCGUUUUUCUUUUCUUUUAUAUUUUUUUUUCUUUUUUCUUUUUAAAAGGCUAAAGGGAUGCUAAAGUAAGUGAUAAUAUUAGCUUUUAGAUUUUUUAUGUUCUUAAUGCUCAAUAUUGCAAAGAAAAUUAUGCCCAUUGUAUCAAAUAACUACUGCUUUGUCAAUGUACAAAAACUUUCACACACUUCUUCAGAUUUUAAAACCCCUUUCACAAUGCUGGGGAGUUUUAGUUAGGAUAUUUGAAUGUUGAAUGCUGAUGGCAAUAUAGCAUCACUAUCAAGAAGAAAAAAAAACAACACACCAACAUACAUAUGCAGUUAGACCAAUGCAUGGCAAAUUCAGUGGAAGUGCAAGAAGCCCUAAGGCCAUGUCAGCAGAGGAGACCUUUGGAUUAAUACACUUUUCUGAGCAGGGCCACUUAAUUUCUGUACUCACAUACAGAAAAUGGGGAAGGUUUGGGGCCUGAGGGGAAGGGGCUGGGGGGAAGGGGCUUUUCCUCAGGGUUGGGGCCAGAGGGGAAGGGGCUUUUCCUCAGGAUUGGGGCCGGAGGGGAAAGGACUUUUCCUCAGAGUUGGGGCCGGAGGGGUAGGGGCAUUUCCUCAGGGUGGGGGCGUUUCCUCGGGGUUGGGGCCAGAGGGGAAGGGGGUUUUAUUAGAGGGUGGGCUGGAGGUGAAAGGGCUUUUCCUCAGGGUUGGGGCCAGAGGGGAAGGGGCUUUUCCUCACGCUUGGGACUGAAGGGAGAGGGGCUUUUCCUCAGGGUUGGGGGUUUUCCUCAGGUUUGGAGCCGGAGGGGAAGGGGCAUUUUCUCGGGGAUGGGGCCAGAGGGUAAGGGGGUUUUCCUUGGGGGUGGGCUGGAAGUGAAAGGGCUUUUCCUCAGGGUUGGGAUGCGGAGGGGACGGGGCUUUUCCUCAGGGUUGGGGCUUUUCCUCAGGUUUGGGGCCGGAGUGGAAGGUCCUUUUCCUCAGGUUUGGGGCCGGUGGGGAAGUGGCAUUUCCUUGGGGAUGGGGCUUUUCUUCAGGGUUGGGGCCUCAGGGGAAAGGGCGUUUCUUCAGUUUGGGGUUUUUCCUCAGGGUUGGGGCUGGAAAUGAAGGGGCUUUUCCUCAGUACUGGGGCUUUUCCUCGGGGUU